CCCUUCUAACUCAGAAUAUUCUGUGGUUCCAUGACGGGUGGAGUUCAUCCCGCCUUGAGCAGCGCUGUGCAGCAAGCAGGAGAAAGCAAAUGCACACAGACCUCCAGUGGCCCUCCCGAGUACUACACGGCACUGUCACUGCCACCCCAGGGACAGAGACCUCGCCUGGGGCGUCUCUUCUUCCCCUGCUACUGCAAGUUUUGUAAGGGA